GUAUAUGAUAAUGAAAGAAGGGAAGAUACCCGAAGAAUUGCAGGGAUAUUUGUUUCUCCUCCUCGUUCAACGCCAAGUGAUGCGGCUAGCGGAUCCAUUUUACCCACGGAUAUAAGAAGAUCAUCCGGUGGAAGUAAUCCUAACGACAACCAUUGAAGUUGCUUGCAAAUGUAUUAGAUAAUUAAGUAUCGUACUCGAUUGAAUGAUCAUAGUAGAUCUUUUGUCCAAAAUGGUUGGAGUGGAUGUUAUGUUUAAUGUUAGUUUUAAGACUUAUAAUAUUGAUGUUUUGUGUUUAAUGGUUGGAGUUGUUGUGUUUAAUGCAAAUUUUUGAGACUAAUGUAUUUUGUGGUUUAUUAAUAUAUUGAUGUUACUUGAUUCCACUAA